rnacentral:rRNA from 1 species
UACGUAGGCAGCGAGCGUUGUUCGGAAUUACUGGGUGUAAAGAGUGUGUAGGCGGUGUUCCCAGUCUGUUGUGAAAUCUCCCGGCUUAACUGGGAGGGUGCAGCGGAAACUAGAAUGCUAGAGGGUGGGAGAGGUAAGCGGAAUUCCUGGUGUAGCGGUGAAAUGCGUAGAUAUCAGGAGGAACACCUGUGGUGUAGACAGCUUACUGGACCACUUCUGACGCUGGGACACGAAAGCGUGGGUAGCAAACAGG